rfam:Ornithorhynchus anatinus chromosome X1, whole genome shotgun sequence.
AGCAGCGUGGCUCAGUGGAAAGAGCAUGGGCUUGGGAGUCAGAGGUCAUGGGUUCAAAUCCCAGCUCUGCCA